rnacentral:rRNA from 1 species
AUUGAACGCUGGCGGCAUGCUUUACACAUGCAAGUCGAACGGCAGCGCGGGCUUCGGCCUGGCGGCGAGUGGCGAACGGGUGAGUAAUACAUCGGAACGUGCCCAGUAGUGGGGGAUAGCUCGGCGAAAGCCGGAUUAAUACCGCAUACGACCUGAGGGUGAAAGCGGGGGAUCUUCGGACCUCGCGCUAUUGGAGCGGCCGAUGGCAGAUUAGCUAGUUGGUGGGGUAAAGGCCUACCAAGGCGACGAUCUGUAGCUGGUCUGAGAGGACGACCAGCCACACUGGGACUGAGACACGGCCCAGACUCCUACGGGAGGCAGCAGUGGGGAAUUUUGGACAAUGGGCGAAAGCCUGAUCCAGCAAUGCCGCGUGUGUGAUGAAGGCCUUCGGGUUGUAAAGCACUUUUGGCGGGAACGAAAAGGAUUGUGCCAAUACCACGGUUCGAUGACGGUACCCGCAGAAUAAGCACCGGCUAACUACGUG